GAGGGUGUAGCUCAGUGGUAGAGAGCCUGCUUAGCAUGCACGAGGUCCUGGGUUCAAUCCCCAGAAUCUCCA
rnacentral:tRNA from 1 species